AGGGUUUGAUCCUGGCUCAGGACGAACGCUGGCGGCGUCUUAACACAUGCAAGUCAAGGAGAAAGUAGUCUUCGGAUUAUAAGUAAACUGGCGGACGGGUGAGUAACGCGUAGGCAACCUGCCCUUGUGUUUGGGAUAACUCCGAGAAAUCGGGGCUAAUACCGAAUGAAGUUAUUUAAUCUCAUGAUUAGAUGAUUAAAGGUGUCGUAAGUUAUCGCACAGGGAUGGGCCUGCGUUCCAUUAGCUAGUUGGUAAGGUAACGGCUUACCAAGGCUGCGAUGGAUAGCUGAUCUGAGAGGGUGAUCAGUCACACUGGGACUGAGAUACGGCCCAGACUCCUACGGGAGGCAGCAGUGAGGAAUAUUGCGCAAUGGAGGAAACUCUGACGCAGCAACGCCGCGUGGGGGAUGAAGCACUAUGGUGUGUAAACCUCUGUUGGUUGGGAAGAACGACAUGUAUUCGUAAGGGUAUGUGUUUGACGGUACCAUCAAAGUAAGCUCCGGCUAACUCUGUGCCAGCAGCCGCGGUAAUACGGGGGGAGCAAGCGUUGUCCGGAAUUACUGGGCGUAAAGGGCGUGUAGGUGGUUAAAUAAGUCAGGUGUGAAAGCUUCCGGCUUAACCGGAAUACUGCAUUUGAAACUGUUUAGCUUGAGUGCGAGAGAGGGUAGCGGAAUUCCCAGUGUAGCGGUGAAAUGCGUAGAUAUUGGGAAGAACACCAGUAGCGAAGGCGGCUACCUGGCUCGCAACUGACGCUAAUGCGCGGAAGCGUGGGGAGCAAACAGGAUUAGAUACCCUGGUAGUCCACGCUGUAAACGAUGGGCACUAGGUGUUGGUUGGUCAUAGACUAAUCAGUGCCGGAGCAAACGCAUUAAGUGCCCCGCCUGGGGAGUACGAUCGCAAGGUUGAAACUCAAAGGAAUUGACGGGGGCCCGCACAAGCGGUGGAGCAUGUGGUUUAAUUCGAUUCAACGCGAAGAACCUUACCGGGGUUGACGUCAUAGCGGAGUUUGCAGAGAUGUUAAUGCCUUUCGGGGCGCUAUGACAGGUGCUGCAUGGCUGUCGUCAGCUCGUGUCGUGAGAUGUUGGGUUAAGUCCCGCAACGAGCGCAACCCUUGUCUCUAGUUACCAGCGAGUAAUGUCGGGGACUCUAGAGAGACUGCCGGUGACAAACUGGAGGAAGGUGGGGAUGACGUCAAGUCCUCAUGGCCCUUACAUCCCGGGCUACACACGUGCUACAAUGGCCGGUACAACGAGUCGCAAUACCGCGAGGUGGAGCCAAUCUCUAAAAACCGGUCUCAGUUCGGAUUGCAGUCUGUAACUCGACUGCAUGAAGCCGGAAUCGCUAGUAAUCGCGGAUCAGCACGCCGCGGUGAAUACGUUCCCGGGCCUUGUACACACCGCCCGUCACGCCAUGGGAGUCGGCAGUACCCGAAGCCGGUUCAAUAAGAAUCGUCGAAGGUAAGGCUGGUGACUGGGGCGAAGUCG
rnacentral:rRNA from 1 species